ACGUGCUCCGGGGUCGGUGAGAAUCCGAACCGGCGGUGACAGUCCGCGAGCCGAGGGAGCGAUCCCGAGGUUGAUCCGGUGGGAUUCCGGGACCGACGGUGAUGCAGGCGCAGCCUGCGAGUCCGGAUGAGAGGAAGCACGC
rnacentral:ncRNA from 2 species